GCUAUUUUUUAUAAAAACUCUGUAACAACCGCGCGCCUCCAAUUCUUCCAUCGCCGUCUUCGUCGCCGUCGCCUCUGUCUCAAUUUCAGCUUUAUCUCAGAGGCAGAGCAGUUCACUCUCUCUUUGAUGAGAGUCUCUUCCUUAUGAUUUUUGAAGAUGUAAUUACGGUUCUGUGUGGAAUGAAAUCGGGGUUGUGAAUUA